GAGUUAGUGGCGGACGGGUGAGUAACGCGUGGGUAACCUGCCUUGUACUGGGGGACGAACAGUUGGAAACGACUGCUAAUACCGCAUAAGCGCACAGCUUCGCAUGAAGCAGUGUGAAAAACUCCGGUGGUACAAGAUGGACCCGCGUCUGAUUAGCUAGUUGGUGGGGUAACGGCCUACCAAGGCGACGAUUAGUAGCCGGCCUGAGAGGGUGAACGGCCACAUUGGGACUGAGACACGGCCCAAACUCCUACGGGAGGCAGCAUG
rnacentral:rRNA from 1 species